rnacentral:rRNA from 1 species
GACGAACGCUGGCGGCGUGCUUAACACAUGCAAGUCGAACGGAAAGGCCCUGCUUUUGUGGGGUGCUCGAGUGGCGAACGGGUGAGUAACACGUGAGUAACCUGCCCUUGACUUUGGGAUAACUUCAGGAAACUGGGGCUAAUACCGGAUAGGAGCUCCUGCUGCAUGGUGGGGGUUGGAAAGUUUCGGCGGUUGGGGAUGGACUCGCGGCUUAUCAGCUUGUUGGUGGGGUAGUGGCUUACCAAGGCUUUGACGGGUAGCCGGCCUGAGAGGGUGAACGGCCACAUUGGGACUGAGAUACGGCCCAGACUCCUACGGGAGGCAGCAGUGGGGAAUAUUGCACCAUGGGCGGAAGCCUGAUGCAGCAACGCCGCGUGCGGGAUGACGGCCUUCGGGUUGUAAACCGCUUUCGCCUGUGACGAAGCGUGAGUGACGGUAAUGGGUAAAGAAGCACCGGCUAACUACGUG